rnacentral:rRNA from 1 species
GUUUGAUCAUGGCUGAGGAUGAACGCUGGCGGCGUGCUUAACACAUGCAAGUCGAACGAUGAUCUCCAGCUUGCUGGGGGGAUUAGUGGCGAACGGGUGAGUAACACGUGAGUAACCUGCCCUUGACUCUGGGAUAAGCCUGGGAAACUGGGUCUAAUACCGGAUAUGACCAUCUGGCGCAUGUCAUGGUGGUGGAAAGCUUUUUUGUGGUUUUGGAUGGACUCGCGGCCUAUCAGCUUGUUGGUGGGGUAAUGGCCUACCAAGGCGACGACGGGUAGCCGGCCUGAGAGGGUGACCGGCCACACUGGGACUGAGACACGGCCCAGACUCCUACGGGAGGCAGCAGUGGGGAAUAUUGCACAAUGGGCGCAAGCCUGAUGCAGCGACGCCGCGUGAGGGAUGACGGCCUUCGGGUUGUAAACCUCUUUCAGUAGGGAAGAAGCGUAAGUGACGGUACCUGCAGAAGAAGCGCCGGCUAACUACGUGCCAGCAGCCGCGGUAAUACGUAGGGCGCAAGCGUUAUCCGGAAUUAUUGGGCGUAAAGAGCUCGUAGGCGGUUUGUCGCGUCUGCUGUGAAAGACCGGGGCUCAACUCCGGUUCUGCAGUGGGUACGGGCAGACUAGAGUGCAGUAGG